rnacentral:lncRNA from 1 species
AGUAUCGCAUAUGGAAGUACCUGGAAUAAAUUUGGACUAUUACCUUCGGAUGUUUACACGACUGUGCUGUCAAAAGGCCUCCCACCCAUGUGUUUACAUAAUUUGACAGGUCGAGUUGCUCUGGCGGAAACAACGAUGCAUACCUGGCACCAUGGAAAUAAUGUAGAUCUAAUUUGUAAACUGUCAUGGAACCUGUCCUCGGCACCAACAUGUCCUAUCAUGAUGGCGACCAAGAGUACAGAAAGAUAAAGAUGUAAGCUGAUCCAAAGAAAUAUUGGGACAAUGAAUGCUGUAAUUAUCAAGAAGAAGACUGCCAUAUUUACACACCAUUUUUAUACAGAUGCUCAUCUAAGAACCACAAGUGUUUAAAGCAUAGGUCAACAAAAAACUGACCUAUUAGAUGGAACAUACAGAAUGUCGAUCAUAUUUCCAGAAUCAGAGAAAUAGAAAAAUAAAGUAUUAGGGAGAGAGGAAAAAAUGCAUCAUGCAUGAAGAACAUGCCUUAGAUUAAUUUGCAAAAUACACUGAAAUCUCACAUA